rnacentral:rRNA from 1 species
GACGAACGCUGGCGGCGUGCUUAACACAUGCAAGUCGAACGGAAAGGCCCUGCUUUUGUGGGGUGCUCGAGUGGCGAACGGGUGAGUAACACGUGAGUAACCUGCCCUUGACUUUGGGAUAACUUCAGGAAACUGGGGCUAAUACCGGAUAGGAGCUCCUGCUGCAUGGUGGGGGUUGGAAAGUUUCGGCGGUUGGGGAUGGACUCGCGGCUUAUCAGCUUGUUGGUGGGGUAGUGGCUUACCAAGGCUUUGACGGGUAGCCGGCCUGAGAGGGUGACCGGCCACAUGGGGACUGGGAUAGGCCCAGACUCCUACGGGAGGCAGCAGUGGGGAAUAUUGCACAAUGGGCGGAAGCCUGAUGCAGCAACGCCGCGUGCGGGAUGACGGCCUUCGGGUUGUAAACCGCUUUCGCCUGUGACGAAGCGUGAGUGACGGUAAUGGGUAAAGAGGCACCGGCUAACUACGUG